AUGGCACUGAAUCAAGGCGGGCAGUUUUCUGAAGCUGUUGCUUUAAAGCGGGCACCUAAUGUUGGCAUCUUUCUAUAGUUUGUUGGCCAUUUCAGAACUUUAGAAAUAAAACAGUCAAUUCAUUAGAAAGAAACAACU
ensembl:snoRNA small nucleolar RNA SNORA2/SNORA34 family